GAUGAAGAACGCAGUGAAAUGCGAUAAGUAAUGUGAAUUGCAGAAUUCAGUGAAUCAUCGAAUCUUUGAACGCACAUUGCGCCCGCUAGUAUUCUGGCGGGCAUGCCUGUCCGAGCGUCAUUUCAACCCUCAAGCCCCCGGGCUUGGUGUUGGGGAUCGGCGAGCCUCCGCGCCCGCCGUCCCCUAAAUCUAGUGGCGGUCUCGCUGUAGCUUCCUCUGCGUAGUAGCACACCUCGCACUGGGAAACAGCGCGGCCACGCCGUUAAACCCCCAACUUCUGAACGUUUGACCUCGGAUCAGGUAGGAAUACCCGCUGAACUUAAGCAUAUCAUAAGCGGAGGA
rnacentral:misc_RNA from 1 species